GGGAAAAGGCGGGGGCUACACAUGCAAGUCGAACGGUAACAGGGAGCAGCUUGCUGCUCUGCUGACGAGCAGCAAAAGGGUGAGUAAAGUCUGGGAAACUGCCUGAUGGAGGGGGAUAACUACUGGAAACGGUAGCUAAUACCGCAUAACGUCUACGGACCAAAGUGGGGGACCUUCGGGCCUCAUGCCAUCAGAUGUGCCCAGAUGGGAUUAGCUAGUAGGUGGGGUAACGGCUCACCUAGGCGACGAUCCCUAGCUGGUCUGAGAGGAUGACCAGCCACACUGGAACUGAGACACGGUCCAGACUCCUACGGGAGGCAGCAGUGGGGAAUAUUGCACAAUGGGCGCAAGCCUGAUGCAGCCAUGCCGCGUGUAUGAAGAAGGCCUUCGGGUUGUAAAGUACUUUCAGCGGGGAGGAAGGCGUUGUGGUUAAUAACCACAGCGAUUGACGUUACCCGCAGAAGAAGCACCGGCUAACUCCGUGCCAGCAGCCGCGGUAAUACGGAGGGUGCAAGCGUUAAUCGGAAUUACUGGGCGUAAAGCGCACGCAGGCGGUCUAUUAAGUCAGAUGUGAAAUCCCCGGGCUCAACCUGGGAACUGCAUUUGAAACUGGCAGGCUUGAGUCUCGUAGAGGGGGGUAGAAUUCCAGGUGUAGCGGUGAAAUGCGUAGAGAUCUGGAGGAAUACCGGUGGCGAAGGCGGCCCCCUGGACGAAGACUGACGCUCAGGUGCCAAAGCGUGGGCAGCAAACAGGAUUAGAUACCCUGGUAGUCCACGCCGUAAACGAUGUAGACUUGGAGGUUGUGCCCUUGAGGCGUGGCUUCCGGAGCUAACGCGUUAAGUCAACCGCCUGGGGAGUACAGCCGCAAGGUUAAAACUCAAAUGAAUUGACGGGGGCCCGCACAAGCGGUGGAGCAUGUGGUUUAAUUCGAUGCAACGCGAAGACUACCUGUAACCCCUUGC
rnacentral:rRNA from 1 species